GAGAUAUAAUUUUGUUCCUGGCUUUGUGUUUUCUCUAACUAUUUCAGGAACAAUGAGUGAAGAGAGGCGAGAUGGAAAGCAACCUGAGAGUUCAGGAGAACCGGCUGUCCAGCAAAUCAACCUCAACCAAGUUCAAUUUGAGGCUAUGAUAGCUGAGAUAACCAGAAGAAUGCAAAACACUUACAACCGUGUUCAACAAGCUAAUGAAACUUUACCUGGUGAUAAUGCAGGGCAAGAGAGGGACGCGGUUGCUGCUGGAGUUCAGAGAGCACGCAUUGGACCUAUAAGAGGGCAACGAGUUGAGCUUAGGGGUCGUGGGAUUUAUGGAGAACAUUAUCAAGAAGAUUCAGCUGAUGAAAGUGAUGAUGGAUCUCAGGCUAGUCAUCAUGGUAGAAAUC
rnacentral:lncRNA from 1 species